rnacentral:tRNA from 1 species
AAGAUUUUAAGUUAAUCUAAACUAACAUCCUUCAAAGUUGUCAAAAAAAGUUAAAUCUUUUAAAUCUUG